rnacentral:rRNA from 1 species
CACCGCGGUUAUACGAGAGGCCCAAGUUGACAGUGACCGGCGUAAAGAGUGGUUACGGACACCCCCUCCCCUAAAGUCGAACGCCCCCCAAGCUGUUAUACGCUCCCGGGGGUACGAAGCCCCACCACGAAAGUGACUUUAAUUUUCCCGAACCCACUACAGCUAUUAAA